GGGGAGGCAGAGCGACAAGGCAGCUCGCCGUCGACUCUGGCCUCAGUGUCCACUUAGCCGUCGGUGGGGAAGGAUACAUUUGUAGUAACUCUAUAGAACAGCUGAAUAGUCGUUUAAAUCAUUGAAGAUAAAUAAGUAAACAUUUUUGCAAGUGCACGGAGUGAAAAAAAAAAUUGGUAGUGAGGUAACUGUUGUUCACUCUCUAAAAACAAAAAAACAAAUUUGAUACAAAGGACCACAUUUUAACGCACGGUUCUUGGGAAACAAAGAGAAAAAAAGUAAUUUCCAAAGACAAAAACAGAAAACAAUAAACAUUCAUUAAUUAAGACCGUAAAGAAAAAA